UAUUAGGUUGGUGCAAGAGUAAUUGCGGUUUUUGCCAUUACUUUCAAUGUCAAAAACCGCAAUAACUUUUACCCCAA
rnacentral:miRNA from 1 species